AUGGUGCCUAGCAAAAGUGCU
rnacentral:misc_RNA from 1 species